GUUUUUGUUGGGCUGUUUCUGCAAUCGAAAUUGAUUGUCUUGGGUCCUUGAAACUAGUAAUAAAUUGCCUGAAUAGUAAUUGGGCAUUGCUUUUUUUCAGUGAAUACUUUUUCUGCUGAUAUUCUGUAUGGACGUUAUGAUUUAGAAACCUAUGAAUGGAUGUUAUUAUUCAGAGUCUCAAAAGCCCAGUGAUAAAGGAUUGGGAUCUCCCUCAAAUUUGAAUCCUGCUGGGUGGGGUGAGAUGAGAUGAGAGGCAUUACCAGAACUUCAAUUGAAAGUGGAUAUGCUUAUCUUUUUGUUCCUUUAAACAUGG
rnacentral:misc_RNA from 1 species